UACGUAGGGGGCUAGCGUUGUCCGGAAUUAUUGGGCGUAAAGGGCUCGUAGGCGGUUUGUCGCGUCGGGAGUGAAAACGCCGUGCUUAACACGGCGCUUGCUUUCGAUACGGGCAGACUAGAGGUAUGCAGGGGAGAACGGAAUUCCUGGUGUAGCGGUGAAAUGCGCAGAUAUCAGGAGGAACACCGGUGGCGAAGGCGGUUCUCUGGGCAUUACCUGACGCUGAGGAGCGAAAGUGUGGGGAGCGAACAGG
rnacentral:rRNA from 1 species